rnacentral:lncRNA from 1 species
GGAUCCAAACUCAUGAACCCCAGGCCACUAAGUGGAGCAUGUGAACCUAACCACUAUGCAACUAGGCCAGCUCCCUUUGUUGGAUUUCUAAAAGGUGCUACUUAAUAUAUUUUAUUUUUUAAAUUUAAAAAGAAAUUUGUCUUUUGCUGUAAAGCUCGCAUUGGAUCUUAUCCUAUACUGACCUAAGCUAAGGUUUAAGCUUUCCUAAAUAAAAUUACAGGUUCAGAACAGCAUCUCUGUUGCCCUGCUCCAAAUCACUGUGUAGGAAGACAUCAUAAUUCCUUUCAAUAAAAUUAAUGCUAGUUUUGCAUUUUAGGUAUUUAAAUCUAAAAUAUAUUUCUCAUUUUUCUUGCACCUUGAAGCUAUCCAAUGCUCGUUCCUAAUGACCUAUGUAUGUGGACUUGUGUCUCCUGUCCUCCUGUUCCUUCCUGAGCAGAAAAGGGCAUUGCCAGCAUUUGGGAGCAGUGCUCAGGAGGGAGCUGCUCCGCCCUCUUUACUCCUCCCCCUCUUCCUCUUGGAAUUGGGAGUGAGUAAGCUAUUGAAGCCAACGAACAUUUUAAAGGUCACCUUUUGUGCAGGACACAAUCUCCUUUCUCAUGUCUCCUGUUUGACUCAGGCCCGGGCUUCCUAUAGGUCAAUGGUUUUGGCAUCUGCUCCCUCCAUAAAAAGCACAUCAGGUUGGGCCUCUCUUUAUAAACAGAUCCUCUUUUUCCAGUUUCUUUAUUUGUAAAGCAAGCACCUGGUCCCUGGCUUGGAUCUUUGGCUGUAUUCACAUAGGGUGUGUGAGUUGUGGGAAUAAAAUAAAUCAUCAUCUGGUAUCUACAAAUUUGGAGAAUUAUUGGACCUUUGUCUACAACUAUUAAUAAAGACAACGCUUUUACCCACUGAGCAUACUAUCUACUCUCCAUUGGCUAGAACCAGGAAGUAGGGUUUAUAUAUAUCGCUAACAAAGUAGAAUGUUCUGUUUUAUUUUUUAUUUAUUUGUGUAUUUCUUUGAUGAGGAACAUUGGCUCUGAGCUAACAUCUGCUGCCAAUCUUCCUCUUUUUGCUUGAGGAAGAUUGUUGUUGAACUAACAUCUGUGCCAGUCUUCCUCU